rnacentral:tRNA from 1 species
GCCGCCUUAGCUCAGUUGGUAGAGCACUUGACUUGUAAUCAUGAGGUCUCCGGUUCAAAUCCGGGAGGCGGCU